rnacentral:rRNA from 1 species
GGGAAUAUUGGACAAUGGGCGCAAGCCUGAUCCAGCCAUGCCGCGUGAGUGACGAAGGCCUUAGGGUUGUAAAGCUCUUUUGGCGGGGACGAUAAUGACGGUACCCGCAGAAUAAGUCCCGGCUAACUUCGUGCCAGCAGCCGCGGUAAUACGAAGGGGACUAGCGUUGUUCGGAAUUACUGGGCGUAAAGCGCACGUAGGCGGAUUUGUUAGUCAGGGGUGAAAUCCCGGGACUCAACCUCGGAACUGCCUUUGAUACUGCAAGUCUUGAGUCCGAUAGAGGUGGGUGGAAUUCCUAGUGUAGAGGUGAAAUUCGUAGAUAUUAGGAAGAACACCGGUGGCGAAGGCGGCCCACUGGAUCGGUACUGACGCUGAGGUGCGAAAGCGUGGGGAGCAAA